ACGAACGCUGGCGGCGUGCUUAACACCUGCAAGUCGAACGGUGAAGCGCCUUCCUUUUUGGUGGGUGUGGAUGAGUGGCGAACGGGUGAGUAACACGUGAGUAACCUGCCCCCUUCUUCUGGAUAACCGCAUGAAAGUGUGGCUAAUACGGGAUAUUCUGGGUCUGUCGCAUGAUGGGUCUGGGAAAGAUAUUGUUUCGGUGGGGGAUGGGCUCGCGGCCUAUCAGCUUGUUGGUGGGGUGAUGGCCUACCAAGGCGGUGACGGGUAGCCGGCCUGAGAGGGUGGACGGUCACACUGGGACUGAGACACGGCCCAGACUCCUACGGGAGGCAGCAGUGGGGAAUAUUGCACAAUGGGCGCAAGCCUGAUGCAGCGACGCCGCGUGAGGGAUGGAGGCCUUCGGGUUGUGAACCUCUUUCGCCAGUGAAGCAGGCCUGCCUCGUUUGUGGGUGGGUUGACGGUAGCUGGAUAAGAAGCGCCGACUAACUACGUG
rnacentral:rRNA from 1 species